rnacentral:rRNA from 1 species
GAUGAACGCUGGCGGCGUGCCUAAUACAUGCAAGUCGAGCGAACAGACGAGGAGCUUGCUCCUCUGACGUUAGCGGCGGACGGGUGAGUAACACGUGGAUAACCUACCUAUAAGACUGGGAUAACUUCGGGAAACCGGAGCUAAUACCGGAUAAUAUAUUGAACCGCAUGGUUCAAUAGUGAAAGACGGUUUUGCUGUCACUUAUAGAUGGAUCCGCGCCGCAUUAGCUAGUUGGUAAGGUAACGGCUUACCAAGGCAACGAUGCGUAGCCGACCUGAGAGGGUGGUCGGCCACACUGGAACUGAGACACGGUCCAUACUCCUACGGGAGGCAGCAGUAGGGAAUCUUCCGCAAUGGGCGAAAGCCUGACGGAGCAACGCCGCGUGAGUGAUGAAGGUCUUCGGAUCGUAAAACUCUGUUAUUAGGGAAGAACAAAUGUGUAAGUAACUAUGCACGUCUUGACGGUACCUAAUCAGAAAGCCACGGCUAACUACGUG